rnacentral:sRNA from 1 species
ACGUUGCGACGGCGGCGGACCGGGAAGUUCAGAGGCCGGUUCACACCCCCAAAUCGUCGGUUCCGACAUGCGGCCCGGGCGGAUGACCCCGAGCGGCUGCAGUGGCGGAAUUUUGCGCGAAAUUUGGGUCGCUCAAGCGGCAUUUCGAGCUGGCGUAAAGAGCCUGUUAAUACUAUAUUUAGU